rnacentral:lncRNA from 1 species
UAUAUUAGAGAUUUCGAUACAUUCUUCAUUUUUUAGAAAAUUCUUUUUAUUUUUAAACAUAUUAAACAUGUUGAAUUAUUAUAAUAAUAUUUAAACAAAAUAAUUCUAAAUGAUAAGAAAGCUUAAAUAAAGCAGAAUCUCGUGAAAGUGAAGAUGUCAAUAAGGAGUUAGGGAUCAUGCAGUACUUAACACAAAAGUAAUUAUCCGGAAAGAAAACUGUAAAAACACAGCUUUAGAUCAUUAUCCAUGAUUAAUACUGACAGUCAGCGAUUUAAGUCACUACUGAUAAUUAUUUUACAUCUUAAUUCAUGAUUAAUUCCAACAGUCAGCGAUUUAUGUCACAGCAAAUAAUAAUCUCAUAUCCAGAAUUAUGAUGAACUUCAACAGUCAACGAACAAAAUCCCUGAACGCCUAACGGCCACCUGCCUGCGGCUAAACGGGAAACAACGCGACGAAGUCUAUAUUCAUCAUAACUCAGAACACUAAAUCAUUACAGCCAGAGACUACAAGUAGUCCAACGCGACGGAAUUGAUAUUAAUCAUAAAUAAAACACAAAACAAUUAUUAGUCGGAGACUACAGAGUAGUCCAACGCGACGAUGUCAAAAGACUAAUCAUAAAUCUCAUUAAGAGAAUAGAUAAUAUUACUAACAAGAUCUUAAGCAAUAGAGGUCGAUUUACACUUAAGUGCUCAGACCCUCAUCACUGCUGCUGUCAGAGGCUACCAGUAGCAGCUUGACAAUCCAUUCCCCUUACAAAAGGGUUGCAGUACUCCAAAGGAGUUGCUUUGUUCCUUGAUUAGGAAUAUUUUCCAUAUCUUAACGAAGAACUGAAAAUACCUAUCAUUUUGAUCCAUCUUAAAAUUAUCUAAAAGCUAAGAUUACCAUCAGGGCUGACUGCAGUAGUAGAGACAUUGAACACUAACAAAAGAAACAGGAUUGUAAACCUACAAAAUCACAAGGUGUGUUAGUAAAAGAACAAGCAAGUGUAUACUUUUGUUCAUAAUUGCAAAAGGAUUCCAAUGUAUAUCUAUAAAAUAAAAUCCAUAAGCCAAAAAAAAAAAAAAUUGUAUUGUAUUGUAAAUCUAGGUAGGGGGUAAAGAAAUAUACCUCCCGUUAAAGCGCCAUCGGAAAAAAAUUAAAACGAUGCUUUAAUUUUCUUUGAUAGAAAAAAAAAUGAAAGCAGAGAGAUGAAGAUGCAGAGGAGAGAAG